rnacentral:misc_RNA from 1 species
AGACGAAGAUGAAGAUGAAGAUGACUAUGAAGGUGAGGAUGAUGAAGAUGAGCAGUCCAAUGGAGAGGCAGAAGUCGAUCGUAAGGGAAAAGGGAUUUUAAGGGAUGACAAGGGGAAGGGAAAGUUGAUUGAGGACUCUGACGAUGAUGAUUCUAGUGAUUUUGAGAGCGAAUCUGAUGUUGACACUGAUACUGACCUUUCCGACGAUCUACUGGCCGAAGUCGAUUUGGGUAACAUUAUCCCCUCCAGGACUCGACGGCGUACCCAUCAAUCUGGCCUUAAGAUAUCUGAUGAUCCCGUUAAAGGUGAUUAGUAGAAAUGCGUGUUAUUUUUAUGUUUUACAGUUAUUAUUUAGAUAAGACAAGUCUUUCAACCUCGUAGUAGCAAUAGUUGAUGUUGUAUUUCACUUAACUAAUAUCUCUUACAAUUGGUUUCUUGCUCUUGUUUACUUCCCUCAUAUUAUAUUGCUAUCUGUAGGCUGUAGCAUCUUCUAUGUACACUUUGAGAUUGCUAUA